rnacentral:rRNA from 1 species
GACGUAGGGGGCAAGCGUUGUUCGGAAUUAUUGGGCGUAAAGCGCUCGUAGGCGGGACAGGAAGUUCGUGUUGAAAGACCUCGGCUCAACUGAGGGACCGGCUCGAAUACUCUUGUUCUUGAGGCAAUCAGAGGGUGAUGGAAUUCCCGGUGUAGCGGUGAAAUUCGUAGAUAUCGGGAGGAACACCAGUGGCGAAGGCGGCUCUCUGGGCAAUGACUGACACUGAGACGCGAAAGCGUGGGUAGCAAACAGG